rnacentral:lncRNA from 1 species
AAAGCAAUGUACUCUUUAUUACAUCUUCUCCACAUCUGGGGCACUGUUUUCUUCCUUUAGCCACAGGAGGCAGAGCUGCUAUUGGCUUCCUGCCUGUUUCCUAGUCCUUCCCUCUCAGGCAGCCUCCUCAUCUUCAUAUAUGGGGACAACAUUAAGAAUGCAUGAGGUUAAAGGCGCACACCUUUAAUUCCAGCACUCGGGAGGCAGAGGCAGAAGGGGGUGGAGCACCACAAGCUCAAGGGCUGGGUGGGCCUCAAAGUUAAAAGGCAGCCCAGGCAACCUGGAGAGACAGUGUCUCAAUAACUAAUCAAAAGUAACAUAUUCACAUCUACAGAAAAAACUAACAAAGUAACUUUUAAGAAUACAGAGAUAAUAAAUAUAAUUAUUACUACGUAACAACCAUGUGAAUAUAAUGGGAACUAAAUAGCAGAAAUGCUUAGUGAUGUCAUAC